ACUUUGGUGCAGGCAGGAUUUCCCCCCAUGGACACACACCUCCUCCCGGAUGCAUGUGCAUGCGAGUGUUUGUGGAUAUACAUGUGCUUUACAGUACAAAGUACUUACAGGAAGGCAUCUUCUCUCUUUAAAUAUUUUUCUUCAACUUCAUAUUGCAUGAAGUCAGAUCCUCACUGUCGCAGCCGCAGUUUCUCACAGCUUAAUGGUGUUAAAGAGCCCUUCUUGCUCCCAACCACUGCAAUAACAAUCAGGCUGGGAGGAAGGGGAAAUGAGCAGUGUAGCACAUGCUGUACCUUCCAGCCACCAGCUAUUGUUAAGAGCACGUUGCUCCAGACAGAGUGGCAGCAAUGCACGGGGUGGGAAGCAGGUGUAACCUGCCAGGAACACCAGUCUAGCAAAAGUCGAUUUUUAAUUCAGACAAGUACCUCUCCUUCUUAACUGCCUCUUGCCACCAAACCAAAAGAGGUUUUACAUUCCUGUUGCUCAACACUCGAAAGCUUAGCAAAUGCCUUUAUGGCAAACCAAGAGCUCAUUUUCUCAUGACGGUGCUUUGGUCUUUCAUCUGCAAAGUCACCGACCUUUUUUUCUUCAACUCCCUGUCAUAACAUAGCAUUUCACAUGCAACAGUUUGCUCUCAGGAAGCAUGUUUGCAGACGCUUUGCUAUAGUUUGGGUGCUUUACAGGGGAGCCUGAUAUCUUUCCUUGUUUGCCCUGCUUGCCCAACUCAUUUUUCUUCUGCUCUCUUCAGAAAGUGAAAGUCCCACCAGCAAAGGCUGCCCAAGCUGUGGCGGCCCCAGCGCAGUACUUUGCUCAAGCAAGGUCCACACAGGUGCGUAGCCUGGCAUGGCCAGACGGGUUUGGACUGCUGCUGGGUGGCCCAAGCCCAACUGAUUUACCUCACCCCCUAAGUUCAAUAGCAAUGUGUUGCUGGAGAAUUGCUCUGCCCUUCCUGAGCCCCUGUGCUGUUCUCAGACACCCUCUGGAUAGUUUAUAAACACCAACGUGGUAGUCCUUGGCAGAGUGCGUGAAGCCAGCAGCCCACACAUUCAAAUUCCUUCUUUGCUUUAGUGCAGGAUUUACUCUCCUGCAGUAUAAUAUUAAAGCCUAUUUGUGAUCAAAUUUAGUUCACUGUGCUCUUGAUCUGCAGCCUUUAUUAAUACCUUGUUUUCAGAUACCUGCCUCUGUUUGCUGAGCACUCACACACCAUGCAGUGAAAUAUAAAUGAGCGUGUUCAGCCCGGCUGCCACACCAUAAACAAGCAUCAUGAAAGAACAUCACAUCUACGCCUGCUACUAGCCAUCAGGACAUUAUGUCUGCUCCCUUUCCUCUGCUGAAGCCUGGAGAUGAAGUACUGCCUUGUAUACACCCCACUCAUGAAACGCCUCCCCUGGCUGGCUGUUCCCUGUCCAGGAUUAUCCAUCAGCUGCAGGACACAGCUGCUUAGCAAGGGAGUCAGUGGACCAUGAGAAGGCCUUGCAUUUUCUGUCCCUUAAUAAGCAUUUUCUCCACUGCUGCCUUACAUUAUUUCUUUUCUCCUCAUACCUAUUGGUCCUCUUUUACCAUGGGAUUAUUUUUGGGAAAGAGAUUCCACCCCAUCUCCUCCUCCCUCGCAUGCACCAGCUCGCAACUUCAGUCAGGCUUUGACUGUUUUCUUCAGGAGUUAGCUCAACACCCUGCCAAAGCCCACAGGUACCUCCCCCAGCAACUUGUCCCUGAUGGUCUUCCUCCCCUUCCCCAACUGCUCUUGCAUCACUUAUGGGUGAUACUGUCCUGCUCCUGGUAGUUUGGCUUAUUUGGCGGGGCUGGAAUGAUGCUGAAAAAAAAGCCCUCAGAAAUGGUCUUUCCCCCAAGGGAAAUUCUCCUCUUUAAACAGUCCCUUUGCAUUUGAGAGGUAAAAAUACAAUUUUUAUGUCAUUAACAUAUGAUUCCCCAGUCAUCUGCACUUCUGAACUCUAUAGCUAUUUUAUAUUCGCCCCUGAUACAUAUGAUCUAUGCUGGAGCUACGAUGUAUAGAUUUAGACUACAAGAAAAGGACUGAAGACUCUGCAUUAGUAAUCAGUUCAGCUUUAUUUCACUCAGUGCUGACACUGGACAAUAACAACUUACAGGCAAUUUUGGACUGAACAAGAUGCAUCUGUCCCUACGCUGCUGCGGAGAUGCAUCUGUCUGCACCCCAAGAGCUGUCAUUGUCUCCUCAUCUAUCACUUCCCACUUGUGGCAUCAUUUCAUCCGGCCAACGGUAACUUGCCAUCUGCAGUGCCAAGAAACUUUGAAAAUGUUCUGAAUUUCAUACCAGGAAAGGCUAUAAGGUGCACUUUGUAUGUCAAAUAAUACCUCAGAAAUUGGUUCUCUGCUAUUGUAAGCACUUAUGCAAAAUACAUGUGGCUACAGUCCUGUAUUAAUCGUUAGUUGUUUUUCUUUUACUGUGUUGUUUUUGAGCACUGGUACCCUAAUAAGUCAUUUUACAUUUUGCUUUGCACCUUUCAGCACUGAAAUGAAGAUGGGAAGCGGUAAGAAGCCAUCCUCUGGCACAGCCCAGGCCACAGCGUAUAAACUCAGUGAUGCCAAGCCCCAUCUCCCCUGUACUGUUUUCAGAAAAAAGAAAAGAAAAAAAAGUCCAGCAAACAAAACCCUUCAAAGGAAAUAUCCUGUUGUAGGUUUCUGAGUUGCCCUGCAGCCGAAUGAUGCAGGACAGAGCUGCCCACCCGUGCUAUGUUUCUGUUGCAAGCAGAGUGUAAACCACU